rnacentral:rRNA from 1 species
UACGAAGGGGGCUAGCGUUGCUCGGAAUCACUGGGCGUAAAGGGUGCGUAGGCGGGUUUUUAAGUCAGGGGUGAAAUCCUGGAGCUCAACUCCAGAACUGCCUUUGAUACUGAAGAUCUUGAGUCCGGGAGAGGUGAGUGGAACUGCGAGUGUAGAGGUGAAAUUCGUAGAUAUUCGCAAGAACACCAGUGGCGAAGGCGGCUCACUGGCCCGGUACUACGACGCUGAGGCACGAAAGCGUGGGGAGCAAACAGGAUUA